rnacentral:rRNA from 1 species
AUGGUAUGUACUGGCUUUACUGAUUCCUCCUUCUUGAAGAACUGUAAUGUCAUUAAUUUGGUGUUGCAGGGAAACAGGACUGUUACUUUGAAAAAAUUAGAGUGUUUAAAGCAAGCUAACGCUUGAAUACAUUAGCAUGGAAUAAUGAAAUAGGACGUUCGAUCCUAUUUUGUUGGUUUCUAGGAUUGACGUAAUGAUUAAUAGGGAUAGUUGGGGGCAUUAGUAUUCAAUUGUCAGAGGUGAAAUUCUUGGAUUUAUUGAAGACUGACUACUGCGAAAGCAUUUGCCAAGGAUGUUUUCAUUAAUCAAGAACGAAAGUUAGGGGAUCGAAGACGAUCAGAUACCGUCGUAGUCUUAACCAUAAACUAUGCCGACUAGGGAUCGGAUGAUGUUAAUUUUUUAAUGACUCAUUCGGCGCCUUACG